GUAGGGAAUAUUGGGCAAUGGAUGCAAGUCUGACCCAGCCAUCCCGCGUGCCGGAAGAAGGCCCUCAGGGUUGUAAACGGCUUUUGACGGUGAAGAAUCGACAGGAUGCGUCCUGUUUUGACGGUAGCCGUUGAAUAAGCACCGGCUAACUCCGUGCCAGCAGCCGCGGUAAUACGGAGGGUGCGAGCGUUGUCCGGAUUUAUUGGGUUUAAAGGGUGCGUAGGCUGGAAGGUCAGUCAGCGGUGAAAAGCUGUCGCUUAACGAUAGUCUUGCCGCAGAUACUUCCUUUCUUGGAUGAGGAGGAGGCCACUGGAACGGAUGGUGUAGCGGUGAGAUGCAUAGAUAUCAUCCAGAACACCGAUUGCGAAGGCAGGUGGCUGUACCUUAAUCGACGCUGAUGCACGAAAGCAUGGGGAGCAAACAGGAUUAGAAACCCGAGUAGUCC
rnacentral:rRNA from 1 species